rnacentral:misc_RNA from 1 species
CUGAAGAUAUUAGGGUUCUUGAGACUGCGUUCAAAUUGAAACGUGUGCUCGACCCUUACUCUUUCAUCCACACACACCUUUGUGCACUAUGGGACGCAAGUCCCCAUUUUCACAUAAAAACCUAGUUAUAUGCAUGUCUUUUAUACUCUAUGGAGUAAUGUA